GUUUCUACUAAACCACAAGCAGCAAAAAUGUUACGAGAAUUAGAAAUUACGUCUACAGUUUUCUUGAACUUUGGUGUAUACUUCGCAUUGGCGGGUUGUUAUUACGGAUCGUACUAUAACAGGUACUAUUGCAGUUACAGUUACUAUGACUACAACUACUAUUACAUAUAUUCCAGACUCUAUAUUAUUUAUUGACGAAAAUUG